ensembl:lncRNA
GUGUAAUUCAGCCAAAUCACAGCCUCUUUUAUUGCAAUAAAAACAAAAGCCAAAAACUACAAGAAGUACUCCAGAAAUUUGCAAACAAUAACACGUGGAAACUGCAGUAUGCCUCAGAGUCAUGCUUUUUUCAUAUGUUUUUACAUUAGCCAUGUGCAGAUUAUCAUUAUCACUAACCAUGACUAUCAGAAGAGUCCUGGCUUGGGAAAUUCAAACAGAAUGUUUACUUUCAACUUUCUAAGAAUGGCACAGAUUACAAAAAUUUCUGAUCAUUUCUAAGCAACAGAAAAAACUUCAGUUGCAGAAUACCAACAACGGACAUCGUGUGGAGAUCUGCGUCACAUUGCUGCUGCCUGCUUUCUAAAUAUCACCAUGACAGUGCCUGAGCAGGUGACCUACGAAGUCUUCUGUUUAUCCCUGGCAGCUCUAGUGCUGGCUGUGAUUGAGCUCUUGCUGCUCUGUUGCCUCCUCAAACAAAUCAGAAACAGAAACAUCACUGAGAUGCAGAUCUCAGCAGAACAACCUAGUCGUAAACUGACUAUCAGAACCAAGCCGGACCAUGCAGACCAGCUGCUGGACCAGCUGCUGGACAGAGUGUUUCUCCGGGGGAAUGCAGGACUAGCAUCUGGAGGAGAAUCCCCAGAGGACGUUGAAUCACAAACUGGAGGAGAAUUCAUGAAGGAAGUUGUAUUAGAACCUCAGAAGAACCUUAAAGAAGGAUCUGGAUCAUACCCAGAAGCUUCAACAUCCACUUCUCAUCCUCAAAGAGCUGUGAAUCCUCUUCAUAACAGACUGCAGCAGUGGUUCCAGGUGACUGCUCCUGGUCAACAUGAGAAAAAAAGAGAUUUCAAAACUGCAUCCCAUCAAACAUCUUCUGUGGAUCAAACCAACAACACGUACUCGCAGCAGUCCCAUGAAUCCCAGCAUGCCUCUUCCUCACCUAAGGGUCCUUCAUCCACUGCAUCCUCAGAGGAAUACAAGAAGUACGAUGAGACAGAAGAUUAGAAACACAAACACUUAUCAGAUUCUGAAAGAAUCUGUUAAAUAAAACAGCAGAGCAUAUAACAGUCAUGUUGGUGACCUCACUAACACGCAACGCAGCAUUAGAGGAAGAAUUCUUGUUCUUUACUUAAGUUAAAGGAGUUACAC